rnacentral:rRNA from 1 species
ACCCGCUGAACUUAAGCAUAUCAAUAAGCGGAGGAAAAGAAACUAACAAGGAUUCCCCUAGUAACUGCGAGUGAAGCGGGAAGAGCUCAAAUUUGAAAUCUGAUGGUUCUUGACCGUCCGAGUUGUAAUCUAGAGAAGUGCUUACCUGUGCUGGACCGUGUACAAGUCUCCUGGAAUGGAGCAUCACAGAGGGUGAGAAUCCCGUCUUUGACAUGGACUGCCUGUACGUUAUGGUGCGCUCUCGAAGAGUCGAGUUGUUUGGGAAUGCAGCUCAAAAUGGGUGGUAAAUGCCAUCUAAAGCUAAAUAUUGGCGAGAGACCGAUAGCGAACAAGUACCGUGAGGGAAAGAUGAAAAGAACUUUGGAAAGAGAGUUAAACAGUACGUGAAAUUGCUGAAAGGGAAACGCUUGAAGUCAGUCACGUCGGCUAGAAAUCAGCCUUGCUUUUGCUUGGUGUACUUUCUUGUUGAUGGGUCAGCAUCAAUUUUGACCAUCGGAUAAAGUCGUUGGGAAUGUGGCAUCUUCUGAUGUGUUAUAGCCCAGGGUCGCAUACGGUGGUUGGGAUUGAGGAACUCAGCACGCCGCAAGGCCGGGUCUUUUGACCACGUCCGUGCUUAGGAUGCUGGCAUAAUGGCUUUAAUCGACCCGUCUUGAAACACGG